UACGGAGGAUGCAAGCGUUAUCCGGAAUGAUUGGGCGUAAAGCGUCCGCAGGUGGCUAUGUAAGUCUGCUGUUAAAGAGUCUAGCUCAACUAGAUAAGAGCAGUGGAAACUACAAGGCUAGAGUACGUUCGGGGCAGAGGGAAUUCCUGGUGUAGCGGUGAAAUGCGUAGAGAUCGGGAAGAACACCAGUGGCGAAGGCGCUCUGCUAGGCCGUAACUGACACUGAGGGACGAAAGCUAGGGGAGCGAAUGGG
rnacentral:rRNA from 1 species